rnacentral:tRNA from 1 species
GCCGGGUUAGCUCAGUCGGCAGAGCGAUUCACUCGUAAUGAAUAGGUCCGGGGUUCGAUUCCCCGACCCGGCUCCA